UAUGAAGUCAACUUUAUAAAAUAAAUAACAUUAAAAUUUAAAGAAGACUUAUUUCUUAAAAAUAAGUUUUAUCCACUUACAAGGUAGGAGCUACAAGCUAGAUUGCCUGAUAAACGUUUCCAAUUUCCUCGUCACCACCUGAAAUACGAUAUUAAUAACCAAUUUAUCCUCUAUCUAAUCAACAAACUUUAAUAUCUAAUGAUAGAACUUAAUUUAAAUUCUCGUGACACUUGAAUAAAUUCUCAAAUUUUCCUUUAUUAAUUGGAGCUAAUCACACUUUAUAAUCUCUUGACUAAUAACUAAUUAUCAACAUAACCUUCUUCCCAAGUUUAAAACUAAUUUUACUCUCCAAUCAAGUGAAACUAGUAACCAUAAUUCCACCCAUUUAAUCUACAUUUUGUUCCAUAAAAUCAACUCCCAAGUGAAAUAUUCCAUUUAUAUAAUCAUUUCCACAAAUAAUCCAUGCUCAAUCAUCAAAUUUAAAAACUAAGGUUCGCCAUUUUUAUCUCCUUACCUUAGUGUAGAUAGAAAUUCAAGAAUCAAUAACCUGAACUCCAAGUAGGAUUCCUCUCAAAAAUCUGAAAAUUUUCGAGCGAAAAUAAAACCCUAAAAUUUAACAUAAAAUAUAUCUACCUCUUGAAGAAAAUAAAAAGAGAGGAAAAAUGAAAUGAACCUUGAACUACCUCUUUCCUUUCUUUUUCUUCUUCCUUUUUUCCUUUUUCUUCUUCUUUUUCUUCCCUCUUUUCUUUCCCUUUUCUUCUUCUCUGCCGGUUCUUUCUUUCUUCUAGUGUGUG
rnacentral:lncRNA from 1 species